rnacentral:rRNA from 1 species
AUGCAGUCGAACGGCAGCACAGGAGAGUUGUCUCUGGGUGGCGAGUGGCGGACGGGUGAGGAAUACAUCGGAAUCUACUUUUUCGUGGGGGAUAACGUAGGGAAACUUACGCUAAUACCGCAUACGACCUACGGGUGAAAGCAGGGGAUCUUCGGACCUUGCGCGAUUGAAUGAGCCGAUGUCGGAUUAGCUAGUUGGCGGGGUAAAGGCCCACCAAGGCGACGAUCCGUAGCUGGUCUGAGAGGAUGAUCAGCCACACUGGAACUGAGACACGGUCCAGACUCCUACGGGAGGCAGCAGUGGGGAAUAUUGGACAAUGGGCGCAAGCCUGAUCCAGCCAUACCGCGUGGGUGAAGAAGGCCUUCGGGUUGUAAAGCCCUUUUGUUGGGAAAGAAAUCCAGCUGGCUAAUACCCGGUUGGGAUGACGGUACCCAAAGAAUAAGCACCGGCUAACUUCGUGCCAGCAGCCGCGG